UACAGAGGUGGCAAGCGUUGUUCGGAAUUACUGGGCGUAAAGGGCGCGUAGGCGGUCUUCUAAGUCUUGUGUGAAAUCCCUCGGCUCAACUGAGGAACUGCACGGGAUACUGGAAGACUUGAGUUCGGGAGAGGGAAGCGGAAUUCCGGGUGUAGCGGUGAAAUGCGUAGAUAUCCGGAGGAACACCGGUGGCGAAGGCGGCUUCCUGGACCAGCACCGACGUUCAGGCACGAAAGCGUGGGGAGCAAACAGG
rnacentral:rRNA from 1 species